CGGGCGGCGGGGCGCGGGGAGACCAGGGCGGGCCACCCUUCCCCGCCCCGCCCCGCGCCCCGCCCACGGGACCCGGACCGCGCCCUCAACCCCAGGCCCCGCGGCCACCCUGGACAGCUCCUGACUGACCGACCUGAGAGACACAGAGACAGAGACAGAGACAGAGGCAGAGACAGAGAGAUUGAGAGGAUCCGAGACACGGACCCAGACAGACACCCCCCGGGACAGACACACAGACGCUCACGCUGACACAGAGAGGCCCUGCCCAAGAGGCAGCUUCCCCACAGGAGGGCGGUGGUGCUUGAGCUGGGCCCGGGCAAGGAGGCGGGGGCCCUGGGGCUGGCGAUCACCCCUGGGGCCCUGGGACGUGCAGACAGGGUCUCAGGAGUGCAGCGCUCCUGGGAUCCCUGUCCCGCGACCCGGACGCCCAGGAGCCACGGACAGGCAGCCGGGCUCGGGCGCUCGCUCUCGCUCUCGCUCUCGCUCUCGCUCUCGCUCUCGCUCUGUGUGUGCGCGUUUUUGUGUGCGCGUGCGUGUUUGUGUGUUUCUUUCCUUCUCUCUUCGCCUCUUCGUUCUGGCUCUUUUCCUCUUUCUGCGGGGCGCCCCCGGACUUCCUGAGUUGACAGAACGAGCAGCCAGAAAAGUCAGGACACGGAGAACUUCGCCCGAGAAACCAACGCAAUCUACCAGACGUACAGAACCCCCUCCCCGACGACCACAGCGUCCACAGUCUGCUCGAGCGCAGAUGAGGCAACUGCCGCUCAGGGAGGGCGAGUCCCUCGCAGGAACGGCGGCCCUUGCUGCCGAGCCUUCGUUUGAGACCAAGCCUCCGGGCCCGCACUCCGGGAAACUUACGGAGACACAGCCCCAGUUCUCCCAGCAGAACACGCUCAUCGGAGGUCAGAUUGGGGGAGCCGUCGGAACCAGAACCACCCAGGGCGCUACCCUGCAGGGAGCGACGCGCGGCCCGCCCCGCCCCGCCACCCCGCCAUCCCGGGCAAGCAGGAAGCAGGCCACAGGUGCCCUGGGUCUGCUCUGGCAGGGAAAGUGGGGCCCACGGGAAAAGGGAAACACGAGGAUAUUCGCUCCCAGGAUGAUUGCUGAACGGUGAGAGGAUGGAGGUUGAGGUCCUCUCUUCCUGCUCUGCCCGCAUGUCCCAGCUUCUCCACAGCGAGCAACUAUUGCUUUCUGUCUGCGGUGGGGAAGAGACGGCUUACCUUGAUGAAUUCCCCCCUUGAAAAUGUAAAAGUCCGUGCGAUCUGAGGCAAGUCUCCCCUCUCCUCCUCCCUGUCAUCCCCGCUCUCCUCCCCUGGAGCAAACUCCCCUCCCGCUUUCCCGGAUCCCCUUUCCGCGAUAGUCUGCGCGGACACAGGCAGGGGAAGAGCAGACUUUCAAAGCUGCCCGAGCCGCACGAAAUGAAAGCUGAAGCACAAGGAGCCAGGAAGGG
rnacentral:lncRNA from 1 species